CCCCUUGAUAAGCGCCCUUUCACCUCCUAUGUUGACACUGCUUCGUUCGCGAAGACUAUGGCGCUAAACCUGUUGUGCAAUAGAUGUACAGGACGCGGCUUCGACGCCGCCGCCUCCACCAAGAACCGUCGACUGCGACGGCUGUUGAUGGGGGCGACAUGGGAUCGACUGGCAUUGAAAGACAAGAGCUGUGCUCGGCAUGAUACCGCCGUUAUCGGGUCAAAAUAGUAGUUGCAAACGACAACUAUGCGGAAGCUCGUCUCGCUGCUUAAUCGCGGUGUGACACUUCAAAUCAAGUCCUAAGGGAACAGAAACCUCCACU
rnacentral:tmRNA from 1 species